AUUGAACGCUGGCGGCAUGCCUUACACAUGCAAGUCGAACGGCAGCACGGGGCAACCUGGUGGCGAGUGGCGAACGGGUGAGUAAAGUAUCGGAACGUACCAUUCAGUGGGGGAUAACGUAGCGAAAGUUACGCGAAUACUGCAUAUUCGUUGAGCAGGAAAGCAGUGGAUCGCAAGCACUUGCGCUGCUUGAGCGGCCGAUAUCAGAUUGGCUAGUUGUGGAGGUAAAGUCUCACCAAGGCGACGAUCUGUAGCGGGUCGGAGAGGAUGAUCCGCCACACUGGACCUGAGACACGGUCCAGACUCCUACGGGAGGCAGCAGUGGGGAAUUUUGGACAAUGGGGGCAACCCUGAUCCAGCCAUGCCGCGUGAGUGAAGAAGGCCUUCGGGUUGUAAAGCUCUUUCGGCCGGGAAGAAAUCGCGCAGGUUAAUACCCUGUGUGGAUGACGGUACCGGAAUAAGAAGCACCGGCUAACUACGUGCCAGCCGCCGCGGUAACAC
rnacentral:rRNA from 1 species